GGAUGAAUAAGGGGCAUGUGUUCUGAGCCCCUUGUUAUAAAGAUGAAGAGAAAUGACUCAGAGAGCCAAGGGUCAAGUGAGGUCAUGGAGCUGGGCAGGCACAUGGCGUGGCCUCGAUGCUCAGCUAGGGCUUCGGCAUUCCAGAGUAAAGUAGGCCAUGGGCCCAGACGGCUGGGAUGAGCCUGCCUUCCUCCGAAGGCACAGACACAUUCUGUCUCCACGAUUCACACUCCUGUCCCCAGAGUUUGCUGUUGUCUGGCGCACAGGAAAAGCUGCUGGGGCCCGGACGCAAGCUGGGGACACGCUUCUGCACCUCCUCGGGACAGAAGGCGAACGAGAGCCCAGGGAUCACCUCAGGCCAGAGUGAGCCACCAGGACAUGCAGAGCUGUGCGGGGCCACGUGUGCCUGUGAGCCGCCGGCACCCGGUGGGCACGUCCCCAGCUAAACACCCACUCCAAGGACUCGCUUCCUGACGCUGGAGGCUCAGCCCCGUCUUCAGAAUGAAGGAGACAGGUUACUGUACACAGAAAUCUAGACACAGGCACGGGUUUUCAAACACAAUGUGAAAAGAGAACUCUGUUGAGAGUACAAAACGUGACCAGACAGAGGUUUUAUUACUGAAGGACAGUGACGUGCCAUGUUCUCUCGGACCUUGGUCACCCUGGAAGUACUCACCGCUUGGCUAUCCGGGGAAAGGGUAAUAAAAAGCUCAGGGGAAGAAAUGCAGUCAAAUGCUGCCGGGGGCCCAGAGCUGACAGCUCAGGGAGACGAGAGUCCCCAGUUGGUUGGUUUCUACUUUCUAGGAUGCUGAAAACGAGAUACCUGGCGCGUCCUGGGUUUACUUUUUAAUAAAUAUCCUUUCUCC